UCGGGAAUUUUGGGCAAUGGGCGAAAGCCUGACCCAGCAACGCCGCGUGAAGGAUGAAGUAUUUCGGUAUGUAAACUUCGAAAGAAUAGGAAGAAUAAAUGACGGUACUAUUUAUAAGGUCCGGCUAACUACGUGCCAGCAGCCGUGGUAAUACGUAGGGACCAAGCGUUGUUCGGAUUUACUGGGCGUAAAGGGCGCGUAGGCGGCAAUUCAAGUCAUCUGUGAAAUCUCCGGGCUUAACUCGGAACGGUCAGAUGAUACUGCUUUGCUAGAGUGCAGAAGGGGCAAUCGGAAUUCUUGGUGUAGCGGUGAAAUGCGUAGAUAUCAAGAGGAACACCUGAGGUGAAGACGGGUUGCUGGGCUGACACUGACGCUGAGGCGCGAAAGCCAGGGGAGCAAACGGGAUUAGAUACCCAGGUAGUCCCUGAG
rnacentral:rRNA from 1 species